rnacentral:rRNA from 1 species
UGCAGUCGGACGGUAGCACAGAGGAGCUUGCUCCUCGGGUGACGAGUGGCGGACGGGUGAGUAAUGUCUGGGGAUCUGCCCGAUAGAGGGGGAUAACCACUGGAAACGGUGGCUAAUACCGCAUAACGUCGCAAGACCAAAGAGGGGGACCUUCGGGCCUCUCACUAUCGGAUGAACCCAGAUGGGAUUAGCUAGUAGGCGGGGUAACGGCCCACCUAGGCGACGAUCCCUAGCUGGUCUGAGAGGAUGACCAGCCACACUGGAACUGAGACACGGUCCAGACUCCUACGGGAGGCAGCAGUGGGGAAUAUUGCACAAUGGGCGCAAGCCUGAUGCAGCCAUGCCGCGUGUAUGAAGAAGGCCUUCGGGUUGUAAAGUACUUUCAGCGGGGAGGAAGGCGAUGUGGUUAAUAACCGCGUCGAUUGACGUUACCCGCAGAAGAAGCACCGGCUAACUCCGUGCCAGCAGCCGCGGUAAUACGGAGGGUGCAAGCGUUAAU